GGGCCGACCCUUCAUUGACGCCAACUUGCUCCUCUCCCUGCACCCCUAGAAUUCCUCCUCUUGCAGUGUGGUCGGCUCAGCCAGAGCCUUUUGGGGGAACACGUGUGCUUGCCCGACUCCAGCUCUCGAACUUUUGGAACACAGAGAAUUUGGCUUUGGUGUUUGCAAAUCGUUUCAAACAGGUGGGGGCUGGGAGACCAAUUCAGCGCGGGGCUCACACUCUUGCUGCCUACCCGGGUCCCUCCUCGUCCUCCGCUAGUGCCUGGCCACGCCAUCGCUCACGCGCCUUCCGCCACAUUUCCGCGCCUGCUCCCCGCCCAGGGGUUCAAGUCCACAUGCGGAGCCUGGCUCUUGUCUCUGUGACCCUGAGGACCCGAAUCAACAAGACCCACACACCCUCUGCAUCCCUGUCCGCGCCCACCAAACGCACCUACACAUACGCUCCCAUCGUUAAACUUUGGGGCCAACUUUUUAGGACAAGGAAAAAACUGCCAGCGAGCGAGAAAAGCCAAAGCUAGCGUGGCCUUUUUACCUAAGACUUCUCGCUGGCCUCUCAUUGUCCUUCCAGCAAAGGGGGCGGCGGUGGCCAGCCCCCUUUGGCUUCUAGGAGAGCCGAGAAACCUAAGCACUGCUUUGGGGAGUAAAGAUCACCGCAGGGUGCGGGUCCUGCACAAGCGUGGGCGAGCCGGCCACCUCGGAAUUCGCCGCCCAGAGGCGGGGUCCAGUAAUCGGGGCACUGGUGAGGCCGGGACAGAAAGAACAGCCCCCACCGCCAAGAAGCCAGUGCAGUGGUGGCCCUAGCGGUUUUGUUUAUUUUUCAGUGGUUUCCAAUGAGUUCCUCUUUGGUCACGGACUUGAGAAUCUACUAGAUAAAAGGAGCUGAGUUGGAGCCACUCAGAGAGAUGAGGAUGUCACUGAGUAAGACCUAUUUGCCAAUAAUUCCCUUACCCACAUAGAACUGGUGUCCCUCGCUUCCUGACUUCACUCGUACCCUCAGCUGGAGCAUGCCAAGGAAUCUACACAGCCAGACUUCCAUAAUUCCUCCCAGUGCUACUGAAAAGGAAAGAGUUCUACCUGCCGUCUAUUGCUCCAGCCCAUUCUUCAGGUUAUGAGUGUGGAAUGACCCCAAAGAAAAAAGACUUGAGAGCCGUGAAGACAGCACAGAGGGAACACAAGAAAAAAACUGCGACUUCCUGAGCAGUCAGAGUUGGAAUUUCCCAGGAACACAGUGUUCUGCUCUGGGGUGUGCAUUUGAGCCAUCAAGAAGAUGAAGGGAAGGAAGAUUUGUAAGCAUUCCUACUGAACACAGAGACCAAGGACUGAAUGCAUUGCAGGGUCUAUUACCUUAAACUGCUUGGCUGAUCUUUGACCUCUUGUUUUCCUCAUCCCCUCCCUGAAGAAAUAACUGUAAGUGCCACAUGAAACUGGGGUCGUAACUGAUCUGGCUUAUGCAAAUUGAAUGGUGGUAUCAGAUGUGGUACCCAAGGUUAUCUCUUAACUGGACCUAUCUAAAAAUCUCCCAAAGUACAUCCAUGGUUCCAUUUAUAUAAUGGCUAGAUAUAGGGAGGAAAGAAAGUUC